UACGGAGGGUGCAAGCGUUAUCCGGAUUCACUGGGCUUAAAGGGUGCGUAGGCGGGUUGGUAAGUCAGUGGUGAAAUCUCCGGGCUUAACCUGGAAACUGCCAUUGAUACUAUCAAUCUUGAAUACCUUGGAGGUGAGCGGAAUAUGUCAUGUAGCGGUGAAAUGCUUAGAUAUGACAUAGAACACCAAUUGCGAAGGCAGCUCACUACACGGUCAUUGACACUGAGGCACGAAAGCGUGGGGAGCAAACAGG
rnacentral:rRNA from 1 species